UUAAUCGGAAGUUACUAGGGGCCGUAAAGACGCGAUAGACUAGGCGGCCUGUUAAAGUCAGAUGUGAAAGACCCCGGGGCUUAAACCUCGGAAAUUGGCAAUUUGUAAACUGGCAGGCUAGAGUCUUGUAGAGGGGGGUAGAAUUUCAGGUGUAGCGGUGAAAUGCGUAGAGAUCUGAAGGAAUACCAGUGGCGAAGGCGGCCCCCCUGGACAAAGACUGACGCUCAGAUGCGAAAAGCGUGGGGAGCAAACAGGAUUAGAUACCCCUGGUAG
rnacentral:rRNA from 1 species